ACUCAAAGGAAUAGACGGGGACCCGCACAAGCAGAGGAUCAUGUGGUUUAAUUCGAAGCUACACGAAGAACCUUACCGAGGUUUGACAUCCCAGGAAGGCGCUGGAAACAGUGCUGUGCCUUCGGGAACCUGGUGACAGGUGCUGCAUGGCCGUCGUCAGCUCGUGUCGUGAGAUGUUGGGUUAAGUCCCGCAACGAGCGCAACCCUUGUCGUAUGUUGAAUUUUUCAUACGAGACUGCCCGGGCCAACCGGGAGGAAGGUGGGGAUGAUGUCAGGUCAGCAUGGCCCUUACACCUCGGGCCACACACGUGAUACAAUGGCCGAUACAACGCGUUGCCAAGUCGCAAGAUGGAGCUAAUCGCAUCAAAAUCGGUCUCAGUUCGGAUUGCAGGCUGCAACUCGCCUGCAUGAAGUUGGAUUUGCUAGUAAACGUGGGUCAGCAUACCACGUUGAAUACGUUCCCGGGUCUUGCACACACCGCCCGU
rnacentral:rRNA from 1 species